UGCGAAGGGGACUAGCGUUGUUCGGAAUUACUGGGCGUAAAGCGCACGUAGGCGGCUUUGUAAGUCAGGGGUGAAAUCCCGGGGCUCAACCUCGGAACUGCCUUUGAUACUGCAAAUCUCGAGUCCGAUAGAGGUGGGUGGAAUUCCUAGUGUAGAGGUGAAAUUCGUAGAUAUUAGGAAGAACACCGGUGGCGAAGGCGGCCCACUGGAUCGGUACUGACGCUGAGGUGCGAAAGCGUGGGGAGCAAACAGG
rnacentral:rRNA from 1 species